GAUGAACGCUAGCGACAGGCCUAACACAUGCAAGUCGAGGGGCAGCACAAGGAGCAAUCUGAGGUGGCGACCGGCGCACGGGUGAGUAACACGUAUGCAACCUGCCUGUAAGCGGGGAAUAACCCGUUGAAAGACGGACUAAUACCGCAUAAUACUAAAUUACUGCAUGGUAAUUUAUUUAAACAUUUAUGGCUUACAGAUGGGCAUGCGCAUGAUUAGCUAGUUGGAGAGGUAACGGCUCCCCAAGGCAACGAUCAUUAGGGGUUCUGAGAGGAAGGUCCCCCACACUGGUACUGAGACACGGACCAGACUCCUACGGGAGGCAGCAGUGAGGAAUAUUGGUCAAUGGACGAGAGUCUGAACCAGCCAAGUCGCGUGCAGGAAGAAUGUCCUAUGGAUUGUAAACUGCUUUUGCAGGGGAAUAAAGUGCAUCACGUGUGAUGUUUUGUAUGUACUCUGCGAAUAAGGAUCGGCUAACUCCG
rnacentral:rRNA from 1 species